UACGUAGGUGGCAAGCGUUACUCGGAAUCACUAGGCGUAAAGCGCAGGUAGCGGUUCGGUAAGUCUCUUGUGAAAGCUCCCGGCUCAACUGGGAGAGGCCAAGGGAAACUGUCGGGCUAGAGUGUGGCAGAGGAUGCUGGAAUUCCCGGUGUAGCGGUGAAAUGCGUAGAUAUCGGAAGGAACAUCAGUGGCGAAAGCGACUUCCUGGACCAAUACUGACGCUCAUGUGCGAAAGCGUGGGGGAGCAAACAGG
rnacentral:rRNA from 1 species